rnacentral:rRNA from 1 species
CCUACGGGCGGCAGCAGUGGGGAAUAUUGCACAAUGGGGGGAACCCUGAUGCAGCGACGCCGCGUGGGUGAGGAAGUACUUCGGUAUGUAAAGCCCUAUCGGCAGGGAAGAAGCAAGACGGUACCUGACUAAGAAGCCCCGGCUAACUACGUGCCAGCAGCCGCGGUAAUACGUAGGGGGCGAGCGUUAUCCGGAUUCACUGGGUGUAAAGGGAGCGUAGACGGCCAAGCAAGCCAGGGGUGAAAGCCCGGGGCCCAACCCCGGGACUGCCCUUGGAACUGCAUGGCUGGAGUGCGGGAGGGGCAGGCGGAAUUCCUGGUGUAGCGGUGAAAUGCGUAGAUAUCAGGAGGAACACCGGCGGCGAAGGCGGCCUGCUGGACCGCGACUGACGUUGAGGCUCGAAAGCGUGGGGAGCGAACAGGAUUAGAUACCCUUGUAGUC